rnacentral:rRNA from 1 species
AUGGAUAGUGCCCCGUGUGUCAAGCUUUCGCUCCUGUGUUGGAAUGUGCAAGGGCUGGGGGAUAGGGAUAAGUGUGACGUCGUUAGAAACUCUAUCAACGCUGUCGGCCCUGCCAUCGCCUGCAUCCAGGAGAGCAAGUUGGACGAUCUCCCCUCUCUCAAAGCUCGCUCGUUCCUACCGGCUCGUCUUGAGUCGUAUGUCUGUAAGCAUGCCGAUGGGUCUCGUGGCGGUAUUGUCACGGCUUGGGACCCCCGCGUCUUUUCUCUGGCCUCCUCUUCGUCCUCCCGCUUCACGCUCACCGCCUCCUUCCUAUCCACCACGACCGCUUUCUCCUUCUCGAUCACCAAUGUCUACGCCCCCUCCGAUCACGCUCUCACGACGGAUUUUGUUCUCGACCUCCAAACGGUCGCCCGAGACAUCUCCGGGCCCUGGAUGGUGCUUGGAGAUUUUAACUUGAUCCGUUUCCCCCACGAGAAAAACAACGAUAGGUUCGAUGCCUCACGCGCUGAGGUUUUUAACUCUCUCAUCAACGGGCUUGCGCUGCACGAGCUCGCGCUGUCUGAUCGCAUGUUCACCUGGACUAAUAAGCGAGACCCGCCGACGCUGGCUUGCUUAGAUCGUGUCUUGUUUGACUCGGCCUGGGAUGUAGCCUUCCCGGACUCGUCCCUCUCCUCCCGCCCUCGGCCAACCUCGGACCACGUCCCCUUAGUCGUGGAAGCGCUCACCAAAAUCCCUUCAUCUCUGCGAUUUUUCUUUGAGAACGCCUGGCUCCGCGACCCUCAGUUCCUCCCCUCCACCCUUCCUUCAUGGUCGAACGCUGGUCAUGGGCGGUGCGCGGUGGGCUGCUUGGCAGCCCGCAAGAAGAGGUACAGAGCAGCGGCCAAGGUUUGGAAAAGGCAACACAAGUUCAUUCCCGCUUUCGAUAAUGACUGUAAAUUCCUGAUUGACUUGGUUGAUUUUUGGGAGGAAUGCCGUCCUUUAUCCGAUGCUGAAAACAGGCUCCGUCGUGACUCGCGUCGGGCGCUGGUGGCCUCCAUCAAGCGUCAGAGCGCGUACUGGAAGCAGCGCGGGAAAUGUCGAGCCGUCUGCGAGGGUGAUGAGAACACGGGCUUCUUCCACGCAAGCGCCUCCCAGCGUAGGCGAUCCAACUCCGUCCGGGCCUUGGAUGUGGACGGGGCUACCAUCCUCGACCACGCGGGGAAGGCGGCGGCCCUCCUCUCCUUCUACUCCGAGCUCCUGGGCAGGGCGCGUUCGUUCGUUUGGCGCUUCGACCUGUCGGCCCUGUACCGUGGCGCUGCUCGGGUCGACGGAGCUGCCCUGACUCGGCCAUUUUCGGCCGACGAGAUCAAGGAGGCGGCGACUAUGCUGGACCGCUCUGUCGCUCCUGGACCGGACGGCCUCGGUCCGGCGUUCUACCAGGCGGCCUGGGGAGUCGUCUCCGAGGACCUGCAGUGGCUUUUCGCUUCUGUCCACGACGGGACGGCGGACCUUGACACGAUCAACCGGGCCUACAUCGCCCUCCUGCCCAAGGGGGCGGGGGUGCCAACGCCGGCUGCUUUCUGCCCCGUUUCCCUCCAGAACGCGGACGUGAAAAUUCUAUGCCGCGGCCUCACCUCGCGGCUGCAGCGACAGAUUGGAAGCAUCAUCGACUGCGGUCAGUCCGGGUUCCUGGCUGGCCGGAGCAUCUCGGAGAACUUUGUCUGCGCU